UACGGGGGGGGCAAGCGUUGUUCGGAAUUACUGGGCGUAAAGGGCGCGUAGGCGGCCUGCUAAGUCGGAUGUGAAAUCCCUCGGCUCAACCGAGGAACUGCAUCCGAUACUGGUGGGCUUGAAUCCGGGAGAGGGAUGUGGAAUUCCAGGUGUAGCGGUGAAAUGCGUAGAUAUCUGGAGGAACACCGGUGGCGAAGGCGGCAUCCUGGACCGGUAUUGACGCUGAGGCGCGAAAGCUAGGGGAGCAAACGGG
rnacentral:rRNA from 1 species